AGGAUGAUGUGGGCUAUCACACGCAUCUUAAUCCCACACCAAAAGAAUUUUUCUUCUGCUCAUGCCAACAUACACGCGCAAAACCUGUUUUGCAUCAAGAGUCCACCACAACUUGGACUCUUCAUACUUGACGUUAACUUAGGAUUUAGUACCCCAAUUUGGACUGCUUUCAGGUAGCACAACCUGACCCAAAUGCCCACCAAAUUGGGCUAGCUAAUUAGCAAG
rnacentral:lncRNA from 1 species